GGGAAGAUACUCAAGCGGCCAACGAGGGCAGACUGUAAAUCUGCUGGUUACACCUUCGCAGGUUCGAAUCCUGCUCUUCCCACUA
rnacentral:tRNA from 1 species